UACAACACAAUGCAUUUAUGUUUAUGGAGGCUCCGACAUGUAUUGCAUAACUGAUAAUGGAACAAAACCCGUACAGGUCGUACUUUCACUGGGCCAGGAUUCAUUUGUUCUUGCUGAAACCGAAAAGAACAACGGGUUGUACAGAUUCCGUAACGCUCAUCAACAAAUGGCUGGACUGUCAAGACAGAAUGUGACAUGUCAGGUUUCAAAUGCAGCCCUUGAAACACCUUACGAAGUGCAUGGCGUUCUAUGUAAAGUAGAGCAAGGUAGCCCGCCCAUGCUAACAGUUCCAGAAUUUUUUGAUGGAGAAAAUUCAACAGCAUCUUGUGCAGUUCGCAAUGCUAUCCCAGCUCCGGCAAUAGAAAUGCACAUUGGCACAGUCUUGCUAGAUGAUGUUCUACAAACUGAUUCUUUCCAAGGAUCUUCUUAUACUUUUACAAGCUCAGCAAGAGUGACAAAGGCUAACAUAGCGUGGAAUUGAAAAGAGAUGUGCUGCACCAGAAAGAGCAAAUACGAGUUUGGUUUUAAUGAUAUCUCAGUAUGCAAAAACAUCAGUAUGAAAUUCCCACCCUCGAACAUUUCUCUGUCCAUUACCAAAAUACCAAAAUACAACAACACUUAUUUUAUCAGUGUCUUAAAUAUUUCUUGUGAAACGAAUGAAUCAAAUCCGCCUUGCACAAUUGAAUGGUCAAGCGACAACAGUAAUUUGAGAUAUAUUCAGAGUAACAAUUGGACGAAUGGUGACAAUUGGAGAUAUAGUGCUGUAUCGAACGUGCUUUACAGUGUUUCUAAAUACAUGGCUGGGGGAACAGUUACUUGUUCAAUAAGAUGCGAUCAUUUUCAAUCAUAUUUGACUACAAACUACACAGUAUCUUCCUCAGGUGGUCCGACUCUGUAUUUGAACAUGACAUCACCUGUUCAAUUAUGCCCAAAUACUAGAGUGACCGUAAACUGUCUUGUGGAUGACAGUAAUGCUAAUGGACAAUGGACGCUUAGAUGGGAAGAUGCAAAUACCACUGUGCUAAGGAUUUGUACACAAAUAGAGGAAUGCCUUUUAACGCUGGAUUAUACGGGAGAUGGUUUAAACACAUACAUUUGCUACGCUUGGACAUCAGUGGACCUUUUGAAACAUUCCUUGACAGUUUCAAGCUCAAUGACAGAGGACCUAUUUAUGGAGGCAACUAUUGUAAAACAAAGCAUUCCUAAUAUACUUAACUUAACCUGCAACACCAGCGGAAAAUGCAUGCCAUGUGCAAUUGCAUGGAGCAGCAACUCCGUCUUACUUGACCCUAUAUCGACCUCACAAUGGACAAAGAACAGUGGCUCCGGCUAUACAAGUGUUUCAAAUGCUCUCUAUUUCAUUACUAAAGAUGUGGACGGGAAAAGGAUACAGUGUUCUGUAAAUUGUGGGAACGAGUCUUCAUAUUCAAACAAUGAAACAUACACAAUUUCCUUUCAAGCUGUUCAAGAUUCAACUAACAACUCUGCACCAGUUCUAACCCAAAAGUGGUUUAUGUCGGUCAUCUACGCCGUAGCUGGAACACUUUUAUGUCUACUUGUUCUAACGUUAACUUUACUUCUCUUUAGGCGAUGUAAACCUCAUGUGGUACACAGAAUGAAAUUAAGCUGCACAAAACAACACUCCCCUUACAUGAAUCUGACGUCAUUUUUUAUCAAUGAACCUCGGAUCGAUCAUGAGUUCAUAUGGAGCAAUCAACUGGAGUAUUUACAAAGGUUAUAAUGCCAUACUUGAUUAUUUGUUACAUCGGUAAUUUCGCUUUUAAAAUUUUAAGGUAAAAUGCAUAAAUUGUUGAUAACCACAUGAGUGCAAUGGCAUUUUAAAAUAUCCUCGUAUCCUUCGGACUUUAAAUACAUAAUAUCUUGUUUUAAAUGUCAAGAAAUGUGUUAUUACAUGAAUGAUAAAAGCAUUUACGUCUUUGGCACAGUUUAUGCAACGCUUCUACGCCGAAGGAAAACUGCAGUUAGAGAGCGAUGUACACAUGUGUAUGAUACGGUGUCUAAUGUUGAGACAACUGCGCUUCACAAUCUGAGAGGAGUGUCAACAAAUGCUAUCCAGGUCACAAACGCACCUCAACAUUUGGAUAUGGAAGGAAACAAAGUCCUCUCAAAUGAAAAUGUAAGCCACUAUGACUAUGUGGACACUACAUCCGACCACAGCGACAGUCAGACAAACGCGCCGGAUGCAAAUUAUAUUCACGCUUUAUAAAACUAGCGUGAGAGUCGUUUUUACUAUGUAGUCAGAUUUGUAUUGUUCGAAAAUCCUAUGAUCAUUUCAGUUACGCUAACUGUUUCAAGGCGUUUAUUGUUAUUUGUUUCCUCCCUUUUGUACAAUUGUCAUAUCUUUUUUAAUUUAUUUAUCAUAUGAGUGCAUAGUUUCGUAGAUGAUUGAUAUUAGCCGGAAAUAUAGGUAUUGUUGUAUUGCACCUUGGAAGCUUUUGAAUAUAAACGAUAUUUUGAUUUUUCAGUCAUUAUUUAGUCAUUAUUCAAUGGAAACUUUUAUAUAUUAUAUAUGUGUGUGUUUGUGUGUGUGCGUGUGUGUACAUACCGUGGAUGGUCUUAUGAGGUUGAGCAAGGUUAAGCUUUAAACAAAACUUCAAUACAUUAUGUUUGGCCGUUGUGCUUGUUGUUUUUGUUACUAUUGUAUUUUUAUAGUGUGAGUAAUCGGAUUGCCUGAUCCAGAAGUCCAACUAUCAACAUAGAGUCUAUGGCUGUUACCCUGUUCUAUUAUAGUUGCUAUGAGUUUUAUUUUACUUCUUUUUUGAUUAUCAUGAUGUUAUUUGUUGUAUAUAAUUUUGUGUCAUACUGGUCAUUUAAGCACAUCUGUGCACAAAAUAAAAUUUACUUAAAAUCA